GCGCUCAGUUCAGCAGCGCAUAUACUAAAAUUGGAACGGUACAGAGAAGGUUAGCAUGGCCCCUGGGCAAGGAGGACACGCAAAUCCGUGAAGCCUUAGAAAAAAUU